rnacentral:rRNA from 1 species
AGAGUUUGAUCCUGGCUCAGAUUGAACGCUGGCGGCAUGCUUUACACAUGCAAGUCGGACGGCAGCACAGAGAAGCUUGCUUCUUGGGUGGCGAGUGGCGAACGGGUGAGUAAUAUAUCGGAACGUACCGAGUAAUGGGGGAUAACUAAUCGAAAGAUUAGCUAAUACCGCAUAUUCUCUGAGGAGGAAAGCAGGGGACCUUCGGGCCUUGCGUUAUUCGAGCGGCCGAUAUCUGAUUAGCUAGUUGGUGGGGUAAAGGCCUACCAAGGCGACGAUCAGUAGCGGGUCUGAGAGGAUGAUCCGCCACACUGGGACUGAGACACGGCCCAGACUCCUACGGGAGGCAGCAGUGGGGAAUUUUGGACAAUGGGCGCAAGCCUGAUCCAGCCAUGCCGCGUGUCUGAAGAAGGCCUUCGGGUUGUAAAGGACUUUUGUCAGGGAAGAAAAGGCUGUUGCUAAUAUCGACAGCUGAUGACGGUACCUGAAGAAUAAGCACCGGCUAACUACGUGCCAGCAGCCGCGGUAAUACGUAGGGUGCGAGCGUUAAUCGGAAUUACUGGGCGUAAAGCGAGCGCAGACGGUUACUUAAGCAGGAUGUGAAAUCCCCGGGCUCAACCUGGGAACUGCGUUCUGAACUGGGUGACUAGAGUGUGUCAGAGGGAGGUAGAAUUCCACGUGUAGCAGUGAAAUGCGUAGAGAUGUGGAGGAAUACCGAUGGCGAAGGCAGCCUCCUGGGAUAACACUGACGUUCAUGCUCGAAAGCGUGGGUAGCAAACAGGAUUAGAUACCCUGGUAGUCCACGCCCUAA